UACGAAGGGGGCUAGCGUUGUUCGGAAUUACUGGGCGUAAAGCGCACGUAGGCGGAUACUUAAGUCAGGGGUGAAAUCCCGGGGCUCAACCCCGGAACUGCCUUUGAUACUGGGUAUCUCGAGUCCGGAAGAGGUGAGUGGAAUUCCGAGUGUAGAGGUGAAAUUCGUAGAUAUUCGGAGGAACACCAGUGGCGAAGGCGGCGACCUGGUUCGAUACUGACACUGAGGUGCGAAAGCGUGGGGAGCAAACAGG
rnacentral:rRNA from 1 species